UACAGAGGGUGCGAGCGUUGUCCGGAAUCACUGGGCGUAAAGGGCGCGUAGGUGGCCCGGUCAGUCCGUGGUGAAAGCGCGGGGCUCAACCCCGCGUCGGCCAUGGAUACUGCUGGGCUGGAGCACUGUAGAGGCAGGCGGAAUUCCGGGUGUAGCGGUGGAAUGCGUAGAGAUCCGGAAGAACACCGGUGGCGAAGGCGGCCUGCUGGGCAGUUGCUGACACUGAGGCGCGACAGCGUGGGGAGCAAACAGG
rnacentral:rRNA from 1 species